AGUGAACGCUGGCGGUAGGCCUAACACAUGCAAGUCGAACGGCAGCACAGUAAGAGCUUGCUCUUACGGGUGGCGAGUGGCGGACGGGUGAGGAAUACAUCGGAAUCUACUUUUUCGUGGGGGAUAACGUAGGGAAACUUACGCUAAUACCGCAUACGACCUACGGGUGAAAGCAGUGGAUCUUCGGACCUUGCGCGAUUGAAUGAGCCGAUGUCGGAUUAGCUAGUUGGCGGGGUAAAGGCCCACCAAGGCGACGAUCCGUAGCUGGUCUGAGAGGAUGAUCAGCCACACUGGAACUGAGACACGGUCCAGACUCCUACGGGAGGCAGCAGUAGGGAAUAUUGGACAAUGGGCGCAAGCCUGAUCCAGCCAUACCGCGUGGGUGAAGAAGGCCUUCGGGUUGUAAAGCCCCUUUGUUGGGAAAGAAAAGCAGCAGGUUAAUACCCCGCUGUUCUGACGGUACCCAAAGAAUAAGCACCGGCUAACUUCGUG
rnacentral:rRNA from 1 species